rnacentral:rRNA from 1 species
GUCCACGCCGUAAACGAUGAUCACUCGAUGUGUGCGAUAUACUGUACGCGUCUAAGCGAAAGCAUUAAGUGAUCCACCUGGGAGUACGGUCGCAAGAUUGAAACUCAAAGGAAUUGACGGGGCCCGCACAAGCGGAGGAGCAUGUGGUUUAAUUCGAUGAUACGCGAGGAACCUUACCUGGGCUUAAAUGGGAGAGGACAGUUGCCGAAAGGUGACCUUCCGCAAGGACCUCUUUCAAGGUGCUGCAUGGCUGUCGU